rnacentral:rRNA from 1 species
CUACGGGCCGCUGCAGUGAGGAAUAUUGCACAAUGGGGGGAACCCUGAUGCAGCAACGCCGCGUGGAGGAUGACGCAUUUCGGUGUGUAAACUCCUUUUAUAUGUCAAGAAAAUGACGGUAGCAUAUGAAUAAGCACCGGCUAACUCCGUGCCAGCAGCCGCGGUAAUACGGAGGGUGCAAGCGUUACUCGGAAUCACUGGGCGUAAAGGACGCGUAGGCGGGUUGGAAAGUCAGGUGUGAAAUCCUACAGCUUAACUGUAGAACUGCACUUGAAACUUCUAAUCUAGAGUAUGGGAGGGGGAGAUGGAAUUAGUGGUGUAGGGGUAAAAUCCGUAGAUAUCACUAGGAAUACCUAAAGCGAAGGCGAUCUCCUGGAACAUUACUGACGCUAAGGCGAAAAAGCGUGGGGAGCAAACAGGAUUAGAUACCCCUGUAGUC